AACAACUUUGCUCCUGCAAGAGUCAAGUGCACGCGCUUUGGGACAGUGAAGCAAAGAAUGUUCACAAAGCCCAUACACUUCACCCUUUAGGAGAGCUG
rnacentral:pre_miRNA from 17 species